CUGCGCUGCCUGCGUCGCCGAGUUUGAAGAGUUUGCUUCCUAUUUUUGUAUUCCACUCUUGUUUUUAUUUGUUGCAAAAGGGAGUAGCAGCCGUCUCCCAGCAUAUCUCCCUUUUGUCCGACAUCGGCAAAGCUUUUUGGCCAGUCUCUCACAAUCAUCCGGGCGAUCGUGUGGCAUGUUGCUCUUGUUGGGUUUUGCUCAUGCGCUAACAUUUGGUCCACCACUGUCUUUAUCAUGUCUCUUCUGUCCCCUGGUGAUGGUCUUUUGCAUCUGCCGUCGCUUUGCCAAUAGCUGCUGGCAUCUCUACCCAUCGGACCCGAAGUCAGUAUACCAUGGCCUGCCAGGCAAGUCUCUGAAGCAGUGUCUCACACUCGAGUCCUGACCGAGGGCCUUGAAACUGGCAUGCCUGUUCAAAACAUCUCCAGGACAACAAGAAGAUGAAGGAGAAUGCGUGCAGUGGGCUGAAUAGAGAAUUCGUGAAUCAAAGGCAACACCAUCAAAUGCAUUAUGAAAUUAAGCACUAUCAGGUUGUCAAGGCUGUAGCUCAGCGGGCACAUGGUCCUGGAUACCUGAUAUAUAUAUAUUUUUUUUUUUAACUAUUUAUAUAUGGAAUCUGAAUGCACUCCAAGAAAUGCUGCAGUUCUUUGGGCCACAAGAGGCCAAGAAGCUCUACUACAAGAAGUUAAGGCAGAAGAUGAAGAUUAUUACAAAUUAUCCAAGUCAGUUCCGACCAAGUAAUUUGAUUGGACAAGAGGCAUUCCAGUGCUGAUAUAGAGUAUAACAGCACUGGGUCUUUUAACUAUACACGUAUCGCUCCCCUUUACGGGUGUUCUCAUAACCGUUAAUGUUAUUAACAAUCUUUUUGUAGCUUAGAUUGCAGCUAACUUUGCACAGCAAAUAUGAACAUGUUUCCAGGAAUAACAUUGGAGUUGAAUUAAGAAUGGUCGCCAGAAGAGGACCAAGGGAACCUAAUGUAAUGCUAAUGUGUUAAUGUGUUGCUUGGCAACAGUUUGACCAGUUGCGGAUCUAUUUGUGUUGGCGGAGCCAAAUAAAUCAUCAAUGAACCAAAGAAAUCUGAUCAUAAUAUGUUGUUAAUUAUUAUUGUUAACUAAUGAUUGGUGCUUGUAGAACUGUUGUAUAAAAGCAAUAUCACUCAGGAGGGAGUGCUUUUGUACUACGGCUGGGAUUCG
ensembl:lncRNA